CGCCUCCUUAAACAGCGCAUCAUGCUUCACAGUGUCGGCCGGCAAAAGAAACACCAAAGAACUUACGGAUAUUCAAAAAAAGAUUUGGCACGGUUGCCACGCAUCCAUGCAGCAGGCCCGAAUCUUGGGUACUACACCCACGGGUGCGGUGGCGUGCCCCCACUAGAAAGCAAAGAAACGAUAAAGAAUAAAUUUGCGGCACCUACAUGGAUGGCCCGCUCCACCAGCUGGAAGUUGAUCACCGCCAAAUAGGCGAAGGUGGCCAUCCCCUGGUUAUACUUCACCAUCACCUUAGUCGCGCUGGCUAGCACGACGGCCAGCCCCCCAGCGGACAUGCUCACUUCGCCGCUCUCGAGGAACGAUUCAACUUUGCCUAGUCCUCUAGCACGGCGGACAUCGAUCGACCCGUCUGGUGGUCCCACUGCCAGACACCCCUGAAGCAUUCAGACUUGGACGCGCA
rnacentral:lncRNA from 1 species